UCCGGAAUGGUGUAAUGGUUAGCAUUUCUGCCUCUCAACUGUCUCACAACAGUGGCGUUCGCAGGAGAUCGGGGUUCAAUUCCCCGUUCCGGAA